CCUUUACCCUACCCCGCUUCCUCCUCUCUCUCUCUUACCAUUCUCAGCAAACCCUAGCCGCCGCCCUUGAAUCCUUACCUCUCUCAUGCCAAAAAUGGCGCGUGUACAGGUCUGGACUAACAUGCGCAGUGUAUACGCCUAUAAUGGUGAAAUUUCAACGUUUACUCGAUUUUUUAUGCUUUGCUUUACCUGAAUAUGGUAAAAUCUUCCCCUUUAUCAUUAUUUUCCAAUUUUUUGUCGAAAUCAUCUUUGUUUGCUGCUUUUACAAUUUAUUUUGAUGGUAUUUUGUGAUUGGUCCAUUUUCAUUAGGCCAGAUCGACCCAAGAGGGCCAGAUCUGGCCGUAUAUUCACUUGUGUCGAUCUAAACCGUUGGUCUGAUGUUUAAUAUUUGUCCCACACUGGUGUUUGUUGGCUUUGUUCUAAACUUCGGGGUUCUAUAAAUAGAACCCCAGUCUUUGCACAAGGAAGGAUCUGGUUUUUGGAGAAAAAAUCGAAAACUGAAAAAAUAGUAAGGAAAAGAGUUAAAAGUAGAGUUUUAGAAAAGGGAAUUGAAAAAACUUAGAUUUUUUCAGAAGACUUUCCAGUAAAAAUAAUUUUAGAAACCUAAACAAAAAGGGUUAGGUUCUAGUUGAAAUAUUUGGUUCUCAUUUGCCUUAUUUUUCUUUGUGUGUGGCUAAGUCUGUUGAUUUGGAAGCACAGGGGCUCUCAAAUCCAUUCUUCCCUUGGCUGCGCGUGUAAAAGUAAAGAGUAUGAAGAUCAAUCCAUGAAGGCCAAAUCAAGGUUUAGUGUCUCUCUGAGAAGUCUUCAACAACCAAUGUCUUUAAAAGACAUAGCAAGGACUUGGGAUGUUGCACUCACGAGGUAAUUUGUGAGUAUGCACAGCAAAGUGGUGGAGGAACCUUCAGCUCAAAGUAUGGGUCUUGGGAGAAUUGUUUGAGUGCAGCAUGAUCAAACACCAAUUGAUGAUCCAAGUUAUGAGAUUGUCUUGAUCCGCCCUUUGACUGCUCUCUCCUUUUUAGUGGUGGUGACUGCACAUUUCUCGGCAUCUUGAAUUGGAAUGCGGAACACUGUUUGUAUAUGCUGGACAUUGAGUUGCUUCUAAUCAAGUGUAUAGCCCUUUGAGCUGUUUGUCCUUUAGCUAAAAUGACAAUUCUGUACAGUGUUUUUUGAACUUAGUGAAAUUAGAUGGUUUAAAAUUGUAAUGUCUGAUGGCUUGUCAAUUAGGGAGGGUAGUUUAGACCCCAUUAAAAGUAUCAUUUGCACCAUA